rnacentral:rRNA from 1 species
AGUGAACGCUGGCGGUAGGCCUAACACAUGCAAGUCGAACGGCAGCACAGUAAGAGCUUGCUCUUACGGGUGGCGAGUGGCGGACGGGUGAGGAAUACAUCGGAAUCUACUUUUUCGUGGGGGAUAACGUAGGGAAACUUACGCUAAUACCGCAUACGACCUACGGGUGAAAGCAGGGGAUCUUCGGACCUUGCGCGAUUGAAUGAGCCGAUGUCGGAUUAGCUAGUUGGCGGGGUAAAGGCCCACCAAGGCGACGAUCCGUAGCUGGUCUGAGAGGAUGAGCAGCCACACUGGAACUGAGACACGGUCCAGACUACUACGGGAGGCAGCAGUGGGGAAUAUUGGACAAUGGGCGAAAGCCUGAUCCAGCCAUACCGCGUGGGUGAAGAAGGCCUUCGGGUUGUAAAGCCCUUUUGUUGGGAAAGAAAAGCAGCAGGUUAAUACCCCGCUGUUCUGACGGUACCCAAAGAAUAAGCACCGGCUAACUUCGUG